GCGUUAAUUCGGUAAGUAUAAACAAAGAGACGAAAAACGACGUUAUGGGAUCGAAACCGGGUGUGAAAAAUUUAAAUUCGGAUUAUUUAUAUAAUUUGCGCACAAUCGAAACGUUACAUAAAAUCAAUCGACCGUGGUAAACGGAUCGAUACUGUUAGAAGGUGUAUCGAUAUUUUUGUGGCCUGGAGCGUUAAAGACAAACAAAAAGCGUACAGAACAGGAAGAUAUAGGAGAGAGAGAGAGAGAGAGCUACAGGUAUAUGGAAGACGGUGGUAAGUUGCUUAGCUGCUUUCACUGUCCUAGGACGGUGUCACGUGACUUUGUUUACGUUCGUCGCUUGCAACAACGACGAACGCUACUCCAAGUUUCGGACGCAGGCUCCGAUAAACUGCACAAAACGCAUUAUUUGAAGAUUAAAAGUCGACGUUUAAUAAUUUUAUUAGCAUCCCGAAACUAUUGUGUGGCGUAGAGCCCUAUCUGUGAUGACCCAAUUCCGUUGUUGCAAGCGACCCGACUAACCCACUUUCGCGCUUGCUCACUGUGGACGAAAGUGAAGUUGGCCGAAGCCUGGAAGCCCUUGUCCUUGAUUCAGCCGGCAUAACGCGUGUUAUAAUGCUAUAGGAUUUUCGUGUCUGGUCAACGUUCGAAUGUCCACUCUCCCUGGCAACCCGCCGACGCCUGACAGUGUGUUAACGAGAUACUGAGAAGACGUCACACAACGGACACACAACUAACUACUAACUCGCACAACACUCGGAUGGUGUGUGUACGGGGAAGGGACGCAAUGGAGACCGCGGCCGUACUCGUGUCUGUCAGUGAGGUAUUGUGAGUUGUACUCGCCCGAUUUUUUUUUUUAACCCCUGUUAACGUUUCGACCCGGUUCUACUAUGUGAUUUGGUAAUACAAGAUGAGCUGCGAACCCACCACCAGCACUGCAACUUCUACCGACGUAUCAGCUACUCCAUCGAUGUUGUCUGGACCGACCCCUACACCGACGGAGUACCAUCACGACACUCCGGACACGAAAG
rnacentral:lncRNA from 1 species